GGGAAUCAAACCCGAAACCUUGAGGUCUGCAGAGAGAGAGAGAGAGAGAAACCAGGAUGCGGAGGAGGAGCUCGGACCCCGGUCGUGCGGCCACAAACAGAGAUUGCGCUCUCAAGGCUCUGCGGGACUUCCUCGAGGCCCCGUCCAACGUAGAUGGCCGGAAUCCGCUGCCGACAUAGGAGUGAAGCACUUCGGACGCUAGACUUGGUCUUCGCAUGGUCGACCCCAACAGCUAGUGAUGGACGGUGUAAGCGCCGCCCCGGCCUGAAGUCUCCAGAGGGAGAGAGAGAGAGACUUCCUCCACCCGAGAAAGACUGCGAGGAAGGAAGCCGCUCAUCAACGAUCCUCUGUCACGCCAA